rnacentral:misc_RNA from 1 species
GAUGAAGAACGUAGCGGAAUGCGAUAAGUAAUGUGAAUUGCAGAAUUCAGUGAAUCAUCGAAUCUUUGAACGCACCUUGCGCUCCUUGGUAUUCCAAGGAGCAUGCCUGUUUGAGUAUCAUUAAAUUAUCAACUGUGCCAAUUUGGUUACAGAUUGGAUGUGGGAGAUUCUUUUUGCAGGCCUUUGACUUCUCUUUGAGAAAAAAAAUAAAAGGUCGGCUCUCCUGAAAUGUAUUAGCAGUGCCUUUGUUGGUUCAUUAGGUGUGAUAAAUUGUCUACAUCUUCGCAUGAUACCUUCAUUUGUAAAGGUCAUAUUGCUUCUAAAUUGUCUUUGAUUGGACGCAAAACAUAUAUAAUGUUUGACAAACUUGAUCUCAAAUCAGGCAGGACUACCCGCUGAACUUAAGCAUAUCAAUAAGCGGAGGA